GCAUGUUAGUGCUAGCCCUCCCAGAAUUCAUAGAGAUUGCAUUGCAGUGCCUGCAGUUCGAAAAAAAAAAUUUCUUCUUGUGCGAUUUUAU